AUGGUCGGCCUCUCCCGUGACGAGUGGCUCUCUCGGUAUGACCUGGAAGACCAACUCUCCAUCAUCUACACAGACGAGGAAGCUUACUGGCGCCUGCGGGGUUCCCAGAAAUGGGUCCUAAAGGGCGAUGCGAACACUGCCUACUUUCAGGCCAUAGCUAACGGACGCCGGAGACGCAACAUCAUCCCCCUCCUCCGGGACGGUCCAUCCCUUCUACAGUCCCCGAGCGACAUUAGGACCCAUGUCGAUGGGUUCUACCGAUCCCUUUUCUCGGCCUCUCCUAGGAGCGGCCUGUCUUUAGCCCUCGAUUGCUGGUCCGGCCGCCAGCGUGUAUCCGAUGCGGAGAAUGCUGCCCUCACGGCCCCAUUCUCGGAGGAUGAGGUCUGGACGGCCAUUAGAGGCAUGAAUCCCUCCUCGGCCCUGGGUCCGGACGGCCUCCCGGUGAAAUUCUUCCAGACCUUCUGGAAUGUGAGCAAGCCGGAAAUCAUGGCCAUCUUUGACGAGUUCUACGUUGGGACCAUUGACCUCGGUUGCCUCAACUAUAGGAUCAUCUCACUCAUUCCCAAAGUGCCGGGGGCCUCCGACAUCCGCCAGUUCCGCCCCAUCACGAUGAUCAAUGUAAUCUUCCGGAUUCUGGCUAAGGGGUACGCCAAUAGGGUGACCCUGCUCGCGGACCUCAUUACCCACCCAAACCAGUCCGCCUUCAUGAAAGGGCGGUAUAUCCUGGAUGGGGUUUUAGUUCUCCAUGAAGUUCUUCAUGAGGUUUGGUCUAAACACCUUAAGGCAGUUUUCCUGAAGAUUGAUUUUCACAAGGCCUACGACACUGUUAGUUGGUCCUUCCUUUGGGAAGUUUUGCUCCGGAAGGGCUUCGAUGAUCGAUGGAUCACCCUGGUGAUGUAG
rnacentral:rRNA from 1 species